AAUGGCUGACCUCCUGUUGGUUUGAGGUCAUGAUAUCAGGCGACUUUUUUGUAAUGGGCAUGCUAUAUAUGUGGCCCGGAUUUCAUCCAGGCACAACACCGCUAAGCCCAAUGGGGGAUGUCAAUGUCAAUUUUAUUUCUAUAGCUCAUUUAAAACCAACAAGGUUGACCAGAGUGGUUUACAAAUAACUUUUAAAACAAACAAGAUAAAAGCAUAGAUAAAUAAAAUAAGUAUAAUAAAAUAUGACAGCAGAUUUUUAAAAAAGGCUAAAAACAAGAUUAAACAAAAAGACACAUUAACAUAAAAUGACCUGAUGGGAGUCAAGCUGUACUCGAAUUAAAAGCCAAGGUAAAAGGGUGGGUUUUAAGAUGUGAUUUAAAUGAUCGUAUAGACUGCAGUGCAAAUAUAGAGUGGUAAACUUUUCCACAGUCCAGGAGCAGCCACUGCAAAAGCCUGAUCCCCUCUAUGCUUUAAUUUACUCCUUGGUUGCUCUAAGAGCAUCUGACUAGAGGAUCGCGGUGCUCUUUUGGGGUUGUAAAAGUCGAGCAGCUUGGUUAAAUAACUAGGUGCUAAACUGUUUAAAACCUUAAAAGUGAGUAAAAGAAUCUUAAAAUCAAUAUGGAAUCAACAUAGGGAUCACUUUUGAAUGUUGCCUUCACAUGGUUCGUUCUCGGGACCUAAUAGUCAGAGCAAUUCCAAUUGGGCCUUUGCACGCUUUCAUGCUUGGGCCCUAAGAAGAAAAGUAACAUGUAAUGAUAGAAGUAAUCUAAUAUUAGAGAUAACAGUAAAAGUCAUCUGUAAUAUAAAAGCAAUGCAGAAGUAAUAGCAAUCCAAAAUAAAAGUCAAAAUGUUAAAAAUCAAAAAUGUCAUAGUAUAGUAAAGCAUGAAAAUGUUUUGUUUGAGCUGAAAUGUUGAAUAUUUAUCUGAGUUUGUUUCUCUUUGAUUUCCUCCAGGUGUCACCACUUCUUCCACGACAUCGUCCACAAUCGCGGAGACAUGGUCCAUGAUCGGAGAGACAUUGUUGAGGAUGAGGGAGACAUCGUCCACGAUCAGAGACAUUGUCCAUGAUCGCAGAGACCUUGUCAAAGAUGAGAGAGACGUUGUCCAUGAUCAGAGACAUUGUCCAUGCUUCGUAGAGACCUUGCGAUAGAAUCGGCGGAGACGGGGGUCACCGAUUUGACGGCAUUGCCCGCGAUCAGGGACAUUGUCGAUGGCCACAGAGACACCGUCUAUGAUCUCAGAGACAUCGUCCACGAUCACAAAGACAUAGUCCAUGAUUGCUGAGACAUUGUCCAUAAUCUCAGAGACAUUGUCCGCGAUCACAGAGACAUAGUCCAAUAUCACAGAGAGACUUUUUAGAAUGAAGAAGUUCUUGCAGACCAAGACAGAGGCCUCCAGGUGUCACCACUUCUUCCACGACAUCGUCCACAAUCGCAGAGACAUGGUCCAUGAUCGGAGAGACAUUGUUGAGGAUGAGGGAGACAUCGUCCACGAUCAGAGACAUUGUCCAUGAUCGCAGAGACCUUGUCAAAGAUGAGAGAGACGUUGUCCAUGAUCAGAGACAUUGUCCAUGCUUCGUAGAGACCUUGCGAUAGAAUCGGCGGAGACGGGGGUCACCGAUUUGACGGCAUUGCCCGCGAUCAGGGACAUUGUCGAUGGCCACAGAGACACCGUCUAUGAUCUCAGAGACAUCGUCCACGAUCACGAAGACAUAGUCCAUGAUUGCUGAGACAUUGUCCAUAAUCUCAGAGACAUUGUCCGCGAUCACAGAGACAUAGUCCAAUAUCACAGAGAGACUUUUUAGAAUGAAGAAGUUCUUGCAGACCAAGACAGAGGCCUCCAGGUGUCACCACUUCUUCCACGACAUCGUCCACAAUCGCAGAGACAUGGUCCAUGAUCGGAGAGACAUUGUUGAGGAUGAGGGAGACAUCGUCCACGAUCAGAGACAUUGUCCAUGAUCGCAGAGACCUUGUCAAAGAUGAGAGAGACGUUGUCCAUGAUCAGAGACAUUGUCCAUGCUUCGUAGAGACCUUGCGAUAGAAUCGGCGGAGACGGGGGUCACCGAUUUGACGGCAUUGCCCGCGAUCAGGGACAUUGUCGAUGGCCACAGAGACACCGUCUAUGAUCUCAGAGACAUCGUCCACGAUCACAAAGACAUAGUCCACGAUUGCUGAGACAUUGUCCAUAAUCUCAGAGACAUUGUCCGCGAUCACAGAGGCAUAGUCCAAUAUCAUAGAGAGACUUUUUAGAAUGAAGAAGUUCUUGCAGACCAAGACAGAGGCCUCCAGGUAAUUCAUAAACAGCUUUACAUCAACUGUCUGACACAGAGCACUGUUUAGUAAGGUGUCAAAAACCAUCAUAAGAUGUCAUAGUAUAUAGUAAGGUGUGAAAAAAUGACAUAGGAUAGUAAGGUGUCAAAAAAUGUCAUAGUAUAGUGUGGCAUCAAGAAAUGUAAAAAAAUGUCAUAGUAUGGUAUGGUGCCAAAGGCUGAAAUGUGAAUUAAUGAUUAUGUAUGUGGCCGUCUGUGGUGGAAGAAAUACUGAAGUAUAAUAAACAACACAAGUUAAAAUCCUGCAUUCAAAGAUUUACUGAACUGACAGUGUUUAUUAUUGUUGUGCAGUUCACAGUAACCUAAAUCAUUGCUUCAGUGAUUAGUUGAUAGACACAUAAUUAAUAAUCAUUUUACUUUUUCCCGAGUAUUUGUUGUUGAUUCUUCAGGAGGUGGUGAUAAUCAGUGGUUAAUUUUCUGAAACAGCCCUCCAGUGUUUGGAAAAUGUUCUGGUUCAGCUAUAAUGUUGAAUAUUUAUCUGUGUUUUCAUGGUUAAACUGAUGAGGAGGAAUAGGAGGUAGUUUAUUUAUCAUUUUCCUUUGUAUGUUUCUCUUUGAUUUCCUCCAGGUGUCACCACUUUAUCGUCCAUGA